CCCCACCACCAGUGAAGCCAUACCAUCCUACACCAGUAUACAAGUCUCCACCAUCCCCAACUCCCGUUUACAAAUCACCACCACCACCAGUGAAGCCAUACCAUCCUACACCAGUAUACAAGUCUCCACCAUCCCCAACUCCCGUUUACAAAUCACCACCACCACCAGUGAAGCCAUACCAUCCUGCACCAGUGUACAAGUCUUCACCACCCCCAACUCCCAUUUACAAGUCUCCGUCUCCACCACCCCACUAUAUUUACUCAUCUCCCCCUCCUCCCCACCAUUACUAAGAAGUGACUUCAUUAUCUAUGAGGAAAAGUAAAUGUUGAGCUGAAAGGAAUGCAUUUUCCAUUUUAGAUAGGCAAUGAUAAAAGAAGAAAAUUAAAUUAUAGUAAACAAUAAGCCCCACAGAAGGCGAAGUUCUUUUGUAGCUUCAUGUUAUCUAAGUUAGUGAUAUUGUUUUUGUACUCUAUUUUUAUA